GAUGAACGCUGACAGAAUGCUUAACACAUGCAAGUCUUUGGCGAAGCUGUGCUUGCACAGCCUAGCCAAGGCGGACGGGUGAGUAACGCGUAAGGAACUUGCCCUGCAGUCAGGGAUAACAGACGGAAACGACUGAUAAGACCUGGUAAAGUCAGGCGGACUCAUGUCCAGCCUGAUGAAAAGAGAUGCUGCAGGAGAGCCUUGCGUCCUAUUAGCUUGUUGGUGGGGUAACGGCCCACCAAGGCGAUGAUAGGUAGCCGGCCUGAGCGGGUGGACGGCCACAAGGGGACUGAGAUACGGCCCUUACUCCUACGGGAGGCAGCAGUGGGGAAUAUUGGACAAUGGGGGCAACCCUGAUCCAGCAAUUCUGUGUGCACGAUGAAGGUUUUCGGAUUGUAAAGUGCUUUCAGCAGGGAAGAAAAAAAUGACGGUACCUGCAGAAGAAGCGACGGCUAAAUACGUG
rnacentral:rRNA from 1 species